UAGGGUCGUGUGAUGAUUUGACGCAUAGUUCAACUGAAUCUCUGUGAUUAAGCAAUUUUCAUGUCUUUCGCUCCUAUCUGACGACCCUU